AGCAACCUAGGCAGGAGCUCCCCGGACCUGAGCGACGGCGGACGGGCGCGUGAGACGGAGUGAUCUGGUGCGGCGGCGUGAAUUCCUUGCAGGUAGAGGCGGGUCUCCAUGGCUGGCAGGGAGAGCUCCAAGCCAUGGCGGGGCUUUAGUUUUCCCUGGUAGAAAAGAGAGAAAGAGGAAGAUUCAGGGAGGAGGAGAGGUAGAGAGAAGAAGGUGCAGGUGCGAGCUUGGGGAAGAGGGAGCCUAACAUAGAGGAUGCCGCAAGGGGAGAGGAAUGGUGCAGUGAGAUUGAGGAAAACAGGACACAUCGGGACCCGGGAGCUCGAGAAGAGGCUCAAUCGAUCUCGACAAGAAGUGAUCUCCCCUUGGUGACAGUAUUAGAUGGCCUCCCUAGGCUCCUGUCAUAGACCUUGGAGUAAGCUUGCGACCUAGGUAUGUGGAUAGAUUUCACUUCUUCAACGGUUCAUUGAUGCACGAGUAAGCUUGCGACCUGGGUAUGUGGAUAGAUUUCACUUCUUCAACGGUUCAUUGAUGCACGAGUAAGCUUGCAAAGCGGCAUCCUGCUUAUCUAGCUUUCUGUCCACUGCUGUCCAUGCAACUGAAGCAUAAAAGAUAUAAGAAUCUCAUCUCCUUCUGGCGGAACGGCAGAGGGCUUGGCUGCUACCAGGGUGAUCCAAAGGGUGUAUCUAGGUAGCAUGUUUGUGGCCUCUUGCACUAACAUGAUUAAUGGUAGCUUCUAUUCCAUGACAUGAUUUUUGCAGCUGUAACAAUAUGUUUCAUGCAAGAGGACAUAAAUUUGCAUCCUAUUUUUCUGUCCAGUUAGUUCCAAAUUACAAAUGUUUGUGCUAUCACUGACAAUUUGGUGGAAAAAGAUGAGUCGUAUAUACACCCAGUGUAAGCUUUCACAUCAGCCGUUGCUCUUGAUUGUCUUUGCAAGUCCAUAGAUAUAAUUUCUUAUGAUUUUCCUUUACUCAUAGUAAGUACUGAAUAUUUUGUGCUUCAACCCUUUAGGUGUUAAUUUCUAUGAUGUGGCUAGCAAAGUUGGCAACAGGUACAGUAUAACGAUCAUGAUCUGCAGAGGGAUAUCACCUAGGUGCAUAAAUCAUAAUCAUUCAGUUUUUAUUUGGCAAGCUGGAGCUACCUGGAACUUUCAAUUUUGGUGCCAAGAUGGAUGGAUUCAACUGGGUGACCCACAGUCAGGGCGUGGCCGCGGCUGCGGCGCGGGCAGCAAGGACGAGCGCCGCAAGGGAGCCGAUGGGCGUGGGCGUGAACCGGGGAGAGGAGACCAUGGCGGAGGAGAUGAGAGAAGGCCACUGUCUUCUUCUCCCCCCUCUCCGACCAGAAACCCCUAUCUAUCCAUCCGACGAGAGAAGACUGCAGGCGGAGGAGAGGAGACGCGGGUGAGGUAAGAGGAGCCAAAUCCCCAUCAUGCUCCUCCCCGCGCGCCGCCGACCCACCAGCGGCAUUCUUUCUGGUGUGCUAGGGGAAACAAACAACAAGAUGGUGGUGCGGGUCUUCGGGUAUGGGUCCCUGAUCUGGAACCCCGGCUUCGAUUUCAACGAGAAGAUCCUGAGAUUCAUCAAGGGCUACAAGCGAACGUUUAAUCUCGCUUGCAUUGACCAUAGAGGCGCACCACAGAAUCCAUCCAGGACCUGCACCCCUGAAUCCGAAGAUGAAGAAAUAUGCGUAUUCAACGUGAGGAAUUUCAUACUUUUGGUGUGGUGCUAGCAAAUAUAGUGACCAAAGAUAGUGAUGAGAAAGGGUGGAGCUGAGUAUGCCACACAUGGAUAUGAUUAUUCCCCGUAUGUUCUUUUUGGCAAUCCACUUCAUCACUGACUCAUCUGUGUAUGGGGUAGAGCCAAGGUGGCAUAAGUGUGUGGCUACGGAUUACAUCACGGAUUAUGUGCUACUUUAUUAGUUGAAGUCUCUUUGUUCGGUUCCAAAGUUUGGCCACAACUAGCUUGAUUCGGAGACAUUUCGUAUUAGGAGUUAAACUUUGGUUUGGAGGCAUUGAGCUUUGUCAGUAACUAGCUUUGUUACUUGGUAUACUUCUGUCAGCAUUCAGGAGCCCCGUAGUUGUGUAGCGGGUCGCGGGAGAGGCAGCCGGUGAGUGCGAGCUGGACGGGAAAGUGAUGCCUGCGAUGGCGAACCAUGCCGGCGGGCAGGGCAGGGUCGACGCUCUAAAUGUACUGCCUGCCAGCUUGUCUUAGUCUUAAUAAAAGUGCAUAUCUGCAGCAUCCUUUCAUUUAUUUGGCAUAUCCUACUUUAAAAAAUAUCCUUGACUCGCAUCGAUUUCAAAUAACUGAAGUAUCUGUUGGAAAUAUGCCCUAGA